rnacentral:lncRNA from 1 species
ACAUCCGACGAAGAAGCCACCGGCUGGUGCGACGAGUGGAGCAGAUCCACAGUCCAGAGAAGGUUGACCAGCACGGCGGAAAGAGGAGGUCGAGUGGAGCAGAUCCAUAGUCGAGAGAAGGUUGGCCAGCACGGCGGACAAUGGAGUUCGUCUGAGCUCAAUAAUGCUAGGUGGAAGAUGCAGAUUUCCAAAUCAGAUGACCUCAUGCGGACAACGACGGAAUGAAUUAGCUCGGAUUCAUUUCGAUUCGCAACUAGGCCGGGUUGAGAACGGCACCUGACCACCACCAUGACCACC